rnacentral:rRNA from 1 species
UAAGGGACUACGUAUCGGAUUUACUGGGCGUAAGCGUGCGUAGGCGGCUUAUUAAGUCGGAUGUGAAAUCCCCGAGCUUAACUUGGGAAUUGCAUUCGAUACUGGUGAGCUAGAGUAUGGGAGAGGAUGGUAGAAUUCCAGGUGUAGCGGUGAAAUGCGUAGAGAUCUGGAGGAAUACCGAUGGCGAAGGCAGCCAUCUGGCCUAAUACUGACGCUGAGGUACGAAAGCAUGGGGAGCAAACAGGAUUAGAUACCCUGGUAGUCCAUGCCGUAAACGAUGUCUACUAGCCGUUGGGGCCUUUGAGGCUUUAGUGGCGCAGCUAACGCGAUAAGUAGACCGCCUGGGGAGUACGGUCGCAAGACUAAAACUCAAAUGAAUUGACGGGGGCCCGCACAAGCGGUGGAGCAUGUGGUUUAAUUCGAUGCAACGCGAAGAACCUUACCUGGCCUUGACAUACUAGAAACUUUCCAGAGAUGGAUUGGUGCCUUCGGGAAUCUAGAUACAGGUGCUGCAUGGCUGUCGUCAGCUCGUGUCGUGAGAUGUUGGGUUAAGUCCCGCAACGAGCGCAACCCUUUUCCUUACUUGCCAGCAUUUCGGAUGGGAACUUUAAGGAUACUGCCAGUGACAAACUGGAGGAAGGCGGGGACGACGUCAAGUCAUCAUGGCCCUUACGGCCAGGGCUACACACGUGCUACAAUGGUCGGUACAAAGGGUUGCUACACAGCGAUGUGAUGCUAAUCUCAAAAAGCCGAUCGUAGUCCGGAUUGGAGUCUGCAACUCGACUCCAUGAAGUCGGAAUCGCUAGUAAUCGCGGAUCAGAAUGCCGCGGUGAAUACGUUCCCGGGCCUUGUACACACCGCCCGUCACACCAUGGGAGUUUGUUGCACCAGAAGUAGCUAGCCUAACUGCAAAGAGGGCGGUUACCACGGUGUGGCCGAUGACUGGGGUGAGCGAGAAGGGGGAGACGCCACAUAAAACUCUUACGGGGGGGUCUUUCUCGCGAGAGAAAAACCCGAGACGCAUGUGUGAGGAGCGUAGGAGGAGUUGUUGUGUCGUAUGGGUUUUUCACAAAAGGGGGCUCUGUCUCCCCCCUACGGGGUUGGAGGGACGCCCGCAGCUUGUGUUGACGUGUUUGUGCGCCACUAGAGGAGGGUAUGCGCUUCGCCGAGCUGUGUGGUGCGCGUGUGAUGCGCGUCGUAAAAGGAGAUGAGAGCUGUUCGUCCGACGCGUCAUCGCACUUAGAUCGAUGAGUCAUCUGAUAUGCUGACCGAUGAUCUAGAUGAGGACGACUAAGUCGAUGAUCCAUCGAUCGCAUCAUACUGCAUAUUGU